AACAGGGAUUGCCUUAGUAGCGGCGAGUGAAGCGGCAAUAGCUCAAAUUUGAAAUCUGGCGCCUUCGGUGUCCGAGUUGUAAUUUGAAGAAGGUAUCUUUGGUUUUGGCUCUUGUCUAUGUUUCUUGGAACAGGACGUCAUAGAGGGUGAGAAUCCCGUCUGAUGAGAUGCCCAAUUCCAUGUAAAGUUCCUUCGACGAGUCGAGUUGUUUGGGAAUGCAGCUCUAAGUGGGUGGUAAAUUCCAUCUAAAGCUAAAUAUUGGCGAGAGACCGAUAGCGAACAAGUACUGUGAAGGAAAGAUGAAAAGAACUUUGAAAAGAGAGUGAAAAAGUACGUGAAAUUGUUGAAAGGGAAGGGUUUAAGGUCAGACUUGGUUUACCAGGCCAGCAUCGGUUUAGAUGGCAGGAUAAUGGCGUAGGAAUGUGGCUUUGCUUCGGUAAAGUGUUAUAGCCUGCGUUGAUACUGCCUAUUUAGACCGAGGACUGCGUCUUUGACAAGGAUGCUGGCAUAAUG
rnacentral:rRNA from 1 species